GAUGAAGAACGCAGCGAAAUGCGAUAAGUAAUGUGAAUUGCAGAAUUCAGUGAAUCAUCGAAUCUUUGGACGCACAUUGCGCCCGCGAGUAUUCUCGCGGGCAUGCCUGUCCGAGCGUCAUUUCAACCCUCAGGGCCCGCCUGCUUCGGCAGGCGCGGCGCUGGUGUUGGGGAUCGGCCUAACCGCCGUCCCCCAAAUACAGUGGCGGUCUCGCUGCAGCCUCCCCUGCGUAGUAGCAACACUCGCAUGCGGAGCGCGGCGCGGCCACGCCGUAAAACCCCCGACUUUCUGAACGUUGACCUCGGAUCAGGUAGGAAUACCCGCUGAACUUAAGCAUAUCAAUAAGCGGAGA
rnacentral:misc_RNA from 1 species